rnacentral:tRNA from 1 species
GAUGCUGUGGCUCAGUGGCAGAGCCAUCUGCUUUGGAUGCGGAAGGUCCCAGGUUCAAUCCGCGGCAUCU